AACAAAAACAUGCAGCCCCGUAGGUUCUCGGUUCCAUUUUUUUAGGAACCGGAACACCCAAACCCUAAAAUAGCAAAAUCCCUAAUUUAGCUCCAGCGUUCCCCUUUGUCUUUCUCUUUCCUCUCUGUCAACAACAAGAAAAGGGAACCCAUUUCUCCUUCAUUCUUCCCCUUGGGCCAUUCUUGCUUCGCGACGCUGUGGUUCUUUCCACUUCUCUGCGGUUCUAUUCAUCUCGUCGUUCUUGACAUAUUGUUCCUCUCCGCGACGCUGUGGUUCUCGUUCAAAUCGUUUUCUAUCACCAACGCCGGCCGUGGCGCAGCGACCAUCAUCCAACAGUUGCGCAACAUCAUCACUCAGGUUGAGGAGAACAUCAGCAAGUUCGCCAAGAAAGGUUUGACGCCAUCACAGAUUGGUGUGAUUCUUCGCGAAUUUCACGGGAUUGCCCAAGUGAAGAACAUCACGGGGAGCAAGAUUUUGCGUAUCCUCAAGGCUCACAAUUAUAGCAAUAUCUGAACAGGCAUCUGAGUACGUGGAGGGCUCCAAGAGCCCUUGAGAAAGUUCAAACCCUCUGGGCUAGAAAUCUUUCGACAUGCGUGUUGUUGUUGCUGCUACUGAGGAUCUUUGGCUAUUUAUCCUCUCUGAAAAGGGUCUGAGGGUGCACAUUUUCCUCCUUCGGGACAUAAUCAAAGUAGUAGAUACCUUUCUACAAUCAAGUAGUAGGUUGCUCAUUGUCGUAUGAGAAGGUCAAAGCUGUACAAUAUUCAAAUUCUGAGGUUUGUAAAAAAAAUCUAUGUUUGGGACAAAGAGAACAAGAACAAGUGAGUACGAUCCUCAUGAGAAGGGGCUUAUUGAUUUGUGAUAUAUGUAUUUGUAGACUUAGGCUACGCUAGCAAGGGUAACUCUCGAAUUUCGAUCUCUCGAUCAAGCAGUGAAUAUGGCCCCAAAAGUGUUGUCGGCCAUGUCUUUUUGAAUGGUAUUGAAGCUAGAGUUUCGUACAUUUAUUUUAGACAUCCUAUCUACAUUAUUUGUUGAUUUGAGUCAUAAAGCACCUGAAACUUACUAGAUUUGUAUAUCUUGGCUGAUUCAAAGGCUUCUCAAGGUGCACUAGCUUCACAAAAUGCUCAUGUUACUUCUUUCGCUUUUGCAGAGAAAUACAUUAUCUAAGUUGCAAGUUAAAUAGUCUCAACUCCCAAGACAACAAUGGAGAUGGCAAUUCCAAAAAGGUUAAGUGUAUAAAGGCCAUGCCACCAAGGUAUACGGGGAAGAAACUAAGGGGAAUAAAAAAAGACAGAACGAUCUCCUUCUAAGGUAUAAAGGCCACGCCAUCAACUGAAGAUAAGGAUCAAGAUUUGCAAAGUUCAUCAUCAAAGCCUAAAGCUUCCACCAGCCAAGGAUAAAUGACUUUGAGAUAGGUGAAGCAUACCACCAAGGCAUAAAGAUUUCACCAGCCAAGGAUAAAUGGCUUAUUGUCUCACCAUCAAGGAGUAAUCUAUGCUCCAAGGAUAUAGAGACUGAAAGGAGUUAUCCACUCUCUAAUGAAGUUCACUUAAGUA